CCAGGCACAUAUACCCUGCUCAGGACGGGGGCUGAUCCAGCCACACACUGCAAGGACCCCAGGAAGGGGAGAAUCGGUGCAGGUAACAGCCCCAGUAUUCGCCCCACUGGAGUGCACCCUGAUUGCAGAAAGGGAACUGCCUGCUAACUACUACUGCGCUUCGUUUGCUGUGGGCUCCCCCAGAGCCAAAGCGCUGGGGUGGGUACUCGGCCAACAGACAGAGCAACAAACAAACAAACAAAAAAUGUGUUCCUGACAAUGGCCUCAAAGCCCUCGAGCAGGGUCCUACGAGAGGGCAGCUGAAGCUAGAGGUCUGCGUCCUCCCCCUGUGAGCACCAGACCUGCCUAGGCCUGGGCUGCUUGAGAGAGUUGUGCUGGUUUAACCAGGGCCGGCUCUAGGUUUUUUGCCGCCCCAAGCAAAAAAAAUUUUGGCUGCCCCCGCCCCCCCUGUUGGUGUCACUAGACAUAGCUACCAGGUAACUCGGGAGAGUGGAAGGCCAGAAGUACCGAUGAAGCUCUUCUGCUCUGGGUCUAGGUGAGCCACAGUAACUCCAUCUUGUGAACAAUACCCAGCCUAGAGUGCUGACAGCCUAAAAAGCAGAAUAUGUAAUGGUCAACUUUUCUAGCAGACAGCUGCUGUUUUGCUCGCUCACAAAUGCUGUAGUGAUAAGUGUAAGGGGGGAAAGUAGGAGGGGGAACGACUGCGUGCGCAUGAAUCUACAAGGCCAAAAGAUAAGCAGGCGAAGGGAAAGUUUCUAACAUGCACAAUGUGUACCUGCUGUAAAUGUUGUUUGGAAGGGAGGGGUAGGGGUGAAAUAGACAAAGGCUUACACAGAAACAGCUUGGAAUAUAAAAAAGGAAAUUUGCAUGUGCUGGGCUUGAUUUGAGACAUGCUGGUCUCCUGGUGCCUAUUCAGAGAUCUCGAAUAAAUUUGCUUUGUUUCUC